UUUGAUGAGAAGAAGAUAACCUCAUCCUGGAUCAAUGAAAAGACUGCUGUCUACUUGUCACCAGAUAUAUGUUAUCUGUACUUACAGAAUUGAAAGUGUACACAUCAAAGGAACAUUCUCUUGGGAAGAAAGG
ensembl:misc_RNA